rfam:Podospora anserina genomic DNA, chromosome 1.
AGCUGCAUGGCGCAAGAGAAGCGCGCCAGGCUCAUAACCCGGAGGUCACUUGAUCGAAACAAGUUGCAGCUA